UACGUAGGGUGCAAGCGUUAAUCGGAAUUACUGGGCGUAAAGCGUGCGCAGGCGGUUUUGUAAGUCUGACGUGAAAUCCCCGGGCUCAAACCUGGGAAUUCGCGUUGGAGACUGCAAGGCUAGAAUCUGGCAGAGGGGGGUAGAAUUCCACGUGUGAGCAGUGAAAUGCGUAGAGAUAGUGGGAGAACACCGGAAUGGCGAAGGC
rnacentral:rRNA from 1 species